AAUUCCUUGUCGGGUAAGUUCCGACCUGCACGAAUGGCGUAACGAUGGCGGCGCUGUCUCCACCCGAGACUCAGUGAAAUUGAAAUCGCUGUGAAGAUGCAGUGUAUCCGCGGCUAGACGGAAAGACCCCGUGAACCUUUACUAUAGCUUUGCACUGGACUUUGAAUUUGCUUGUGUAGGAUAGGUGGGAGGCUUUGAAGCGUGGACGCCAGUUCGCGUGGAGCCAUCCUUGAAAUACCACCCUGGCAACUUUGAGGUUCUAACUCAGGUCCGUUAUCCGGAUCGAGGACAGUGUAUGGUGGGUAGUUUGACUGGGGCGGUCUCCUCCCAAAGAGUAACGGAGGAGCACGAAGGUGCGCUAAUCAUGGUCGGAAAUCAUGAGGUUAGUGUAAAGGCACAAGCGCGCUUGACUGCGAGUCUGACAAGACGAGCAGGUACGAAAGUAGGUCUUAGUGAUCCGG
rnacentral:rRNA from 14 species